UCGUCAGGGAAAUACAAGCAAAGCUUUAAACCCAAAGGACUUGACGGUAUUCCACAUCCCCCUAGAGGAGCCUGUCCAAUAAUCGAUAACCCUCGCUUUACCUCACCACAUCUUGCUUAUCAGCCUGUAUACUUCCGUCGUAAGUAAGCCACAUGAAUGAACCUUAGUAAGCCCAAUGUCUACACAUAAAUGUGUUGAACAACAAUACGUCAGGUCAAGGUGCAGCGGAUGAUGUGGAAUGUGAUUGGCUACACUUUUUAACUUAAAAGAAACGGAAGACAAAAAAUGAAACUCUGUCAGAAGGCGGAUUUAGAAGUAAGAAAAAGAUAUCAUAUUUUUCUUAAUAAGGGCACUGGAGUAU
rnacentral:rRNA from 1 species